GCACGGGCCCGAGACGUGUUUCGCGCGGACGAGUCUCCGUGCUUGCGCGCGCUUGUGUGCGAAUAUUGCAGAUAUUAAGCCGAGAUCGCCGAGCGCGUUGCGUACGGCGGCCGGAGGAAAUGGCGGCGCGCGACGAAUCGAAGGGAGAAGCGCGACAAAUUAGGCAGCGCGCGCGUACCGGAUGGAUUAGACGCGGCGUGUUCGCGUCUACGAGCUACGAGCGCGAGUAAUCUCUCGUAACGAGAUUCGGCAGCGCUCACGGCGACAAAACAGACGCAGUGCCCGGGAGGGGAGGAGAGACAUCCGGCGGAUGCAGAUGCAGACUGGUUGGGUUCCAACCCGGGCCGGGCAGGCUCGGCUGUCGAAGAUUCAGAUAGCGGAACGUGGCGGAGGUCGAGAUAUUCGGUAGGGCGACAAAUGGGCGACAAGAUUUAAGGUGACGGAUGAGAAAAGUGAGAUGGGUGCUUGAGAUGUCUCGCUGAGCAAUCAACGCGAUUUACUCUGCCUACAGGUGAAUACGUCUCUCGGAGUAAUUAGGGGAUCGCCCUCGGCUGUUCGAUAGAUAUGUACGUAACAGUUUUGUUGAU